UAUAUAUAUAUAUAUAUAUAUAUAUAUAUAUAUAUAUAUAUAUAUAUAUAUAUAUAUAUAUAUAGGCUAUUGAUUUUAUUUCAGUUAAAAUUUAUUUUAAGGUAACAAAAGAUUUAGCGAGUGAUUUGUUACACUGAUUUAAACGAUGACUUUUACUGAUUCAUUCAAAGAGCCAAUGGAAGAAUUGUAUUUUCAAUUGUGUUUUCCAUAUGUGGACGCAUAACUUGACAUAAUCCAAACGCAAUUGCAAAUUUUGCAUUACUUUUUGCGUUGAUACUUUCACGAACGCACAGUGACUGACAAAUUUCAAAUGAAAAAGCAGUCCAUUUGCAACUGUAUUUCCCAUGUCUUACGAGUUAUGUGCCUGUCAUAUUUAAAUAACAAUAUUAAUCACCAUACCUGCUUUUUCACUCUCUGUGUUGCGCCUGUAACCAGACAAAACUCAAAUGAAAUCGCAAAUCUUUUUGGCAUUUGAAUUUCCAAUAUCAACCCGUGCUGAAGGAGAUAUAUAUAUGACUAGGGCUGUCCCCGACUAAAGUCUUUUCUGGUUGACUAGUAGUCGUUCAUUUGAAGCAUUAGUCGACUAAUUGCACGUUUAUUAAUAAACGAUUUCAAUUAUAAUAAUGAGCCUUUAAUUGCCUACAUAGCCUAUAAGCUCUCAAGCACACGCAUAAGCUUGCCACAGCACAGCGACAGAAGAAUUAAUGAUUAUGAAUGUGUCAGGGAAAAACAGUAACAGAUGCUGCAUUAACAUUUUAAGAAUUUAUUGCUAAACUAGUGCUUUCUUUGUUCUCUGUUUAAGAGAUGACUCCUCUGUCUGCAAUUUUAAUAUGGCUUACAUAAUCUGAGAAUAUUUCUUUUUCAUUUGAAUUGGCUUAUUUGAAUUGACAUUUCGCUCUCUAUAGAUAUAUUUUUUUUCAUGUCUGUCAGACAAAGCGCUCAAGUUCACAGAGACUGAGACGCCAGAAAGCGCAUCCUGCUUGCUUUCAUUGUUUUACUAAAGUGCAAUGUUUUGUCGUUAUUGUGAGUGCACAAAAAUAAUCGUAGAGUCUUUACAGAUUUGAAAGAUGUAUUACGCUUAUCUGUAUGAGCAAAAAUAACAGAGUAUUUUAAAAGCAAUUGCGCACCGGCGCCUCCAUCUGUCCUGCAGUAAGUUGAAUGAUAGACAAGCGUUUGGAUGUCCUGCCCAGUAGCCUACUGUAUUACCACAGACCAGCCGUUAACAAUCCGUGUGACUUUUUGGAUUUUUAAUUAUUUAUUUAUUUUCUGUGAUUUAAGCAACUAAUAAAAUUUUGGUCGACCAAGCCUCUUCUGAUUGACUAAUGGUUAGUCGACUAUUAGGGGGCAGCCCUUUAUAUAAUACAAUUUGCAAUUCCUUUUAAAAAAAUACUGAAUAUCUGAAAGUCCUGAAUAUUCUUCUAUAGAACUGGCUCACAUGAGUCAUUUGGUCCCAAAUUGGACUUCGUUGGCUAUGCUAUAUGUUUGUCAUUGCAUGCAGUCAGCAACGAUCCAGGCAAUUCAGACCGAUAACUUUUGAGUUUGCUUUUGACUGAUUCAUUCAAAGAACCAGUUAACAUGAAUCCUUUUUUCCUAAAUUGGACUACAUUGGACGUGUUGUAUGUUUUUUUUGCUGCAUGCAGAGACAACACUAUAGAAUUUGAGUGACCUAAUAUUGCUAAACUUACUGAAAUGUAGCUUGAAAGCACUUUUGAACCAAUUUAUUAAAAUAAGUAGAAUAAAAACACUGUAGUAGUCAUAAUUUUAGCAGUGUCAGACCCACCCAGACACUGUAAUUUGCAUCAUGAGGGUUUGAAUUUUACCAUCUUAAUUCUCAUCCACGAGUGUGUAAUUUACACCUGGCAUUUUCUGUCUGACCACACUAGAGAUGCAUUGGAAUGAUGGUAUAUAUGCAAUCCAGCUAAAAAAAAAGCUAAAAAACAAAAAAAAAAUCCAGAAAUGAAAUGCAGGUGUAAAGAGGCCUUAUUUGUUAUUUCUGCAUCACAUGAUUCCAGCUGUCUUCUGCGUGUCAGGAUGAGCAGAGGCCAUCUCAGGUGCAGAGACCUGCUUUAGUUUUCAGUUUUGGUGUCCUGACGUGAGCACAUGAUGUUUAGGUUUCUCAGCGUGGUUUUCAGUGUGUGUUCAUGUGUAAAGUAUGUCUGGGCUCUUUAAUUUGUAUAUCAAAGGUGUUUGCUGGCAGCGUGUUUGUGUAAAUGCAGUGAAGUGUUGUGCAGUGUGUUUUUCUCUCAGCUAACAGCUGGUUCAAGAUGGGUCUACACUGCAGGUGGCGACGUGACGCUCCAGUUUUGAUGCGUCAUACCAAGACCGUUUCGAUGCAGUAUAGAUGCUGCUGUCAGUCAUUGCACCGAUCAGAUUUGAGCCUGUCCAUCGACCAAUCAUAACCCACUGUGGGCGUAUGAUUCACAUGCCUACCUGGAUGUUACGCCAUCAGUGUGAGACCCCAG
ensembl:lncRNA